rnacentral:rRNA from 1 species
UACAGAGGUCUCAACCGUUGUUCGGAUUCAUUGGGCGUAAAGGGUGCGUAGGCGGUCUGGCAAGUCGGAUGUGAAAUCUCAGGGCUCAACCCUGAAACUGCAUUCGAUACUGCUAGGCUUGAGUGCUGGAGGGGAGACUGGAAUUUACGGUGUAGCAGUGAAAUGCGUAGAUAUCGUAAGGAAGACCAGUGGCGAAGGCGGAUCUCUGGGCCUGUCCUGACGCUGAGGCGCGAAAGCUAGGGGAGCGAACAGG